UCCGGGGGGGGCAAGCGUUGUUCGGAAUUCCUGGGCGUAAAGGGCUCGUAGGCGGCCAACUAAGUCAGACGUGAAAUCCCUCGGCUUAACCGGGGAACUGCGUCUGAUACUGGAUGGCUUGAGUUCGGGAGAGGGAUGCGGAAUUCCAGGUGUAGCGGUGAAAUGCGUAGAUACCUGGAGGAACACCGGUGGCGAAGGCGGCAUCCGGGACCGAGACUGACGCUGAGGAGCGAAAGCCAGGGGAGCAAACGGG
rnacentral:rRNA from 1 species